rnacentral:rRNA from 1 species
CCAGACUCCUACGGGAGGCAGCAGUGAGGAAUAUUGGUCAAUGGCCGUAAGGCUGAACCAGCCAAGUAGCGUGAGGGACGACGGUCCUAUGGAUUGUAAACCUCUUUUGUCGGGGAACAAAGGCGCCCACGGGUGGGCGGAUGAGUGUACCCGAAGAAAAAGCAUCGGCUAACUCCGUGCCAGCAGCCGCGGUAAUACGGAGGAUGCGAGCGUUAUCCGGAUUUAUUGGGUUUAAAGGGUGCGUAGGCGGAAUAUCAAGUCAGCGGUAAAAAUUCGGGGCUCAACCCCGUCGUGCCGUUGAAACUGAUGUUCUUGAGUGGGCGAGAAGUAUGCGGAAUGCGUAGUGUAGCGGUGAAAUGCAUAGAUAUCACGCAGAACUCCGAUUGCGAAGGCAGCAUACCGGCGCGCAACUGACGCUCAUGCACGAAAGCGUGGGUAUCGAACAGGAUUAGAUACCCCAGUAGU